AUAUCAUAAAAGGACUUCCCAAGAAAAGGUAUAUGAAAGGUGAGCCUUGUGCAAUUUAGUUGAUGGUUAGAUUGGAUGCUUCCGGCGUGGACCAUAUUGACGACAAUGCAGAAACCUUUGCAGGACAUGGCAGCAUGCAGGCAGAGGCAGACAUGGUGCUGGGGACAGAUCUGAGAGGUCUACAUCUUGAUCCAUUGGCAUCAGAAGGAAGGAGACCGUGUUCCACACUGAUAAUAGCUCAAGCACAGUUCAAUUCAAAGCCCGCCCCACAGUGACAUACUUCCACAAACAAGCCACCAUCUACUCCAACAAGGGGACACCUCAUAAUAUUGCCACUUCCUACGGGCCAAGGAUUCAAAUACCCAAUUCUAUGGGGUCCAUAUCUACUCAAACCACCACCAGCACCAACCUGGAACAUAUAUGGGAAGUUGAAGUGAUGGUUACAAUACUCUUUGGAAGAGAACUGAAUGAGGGACCAUACAGUAUUAGAAUACACA